rnacentral:rRNA from 4 species
UAGACCGCCUGGGGAGUACGGCCGCAAGGUUAAAACUCAAAUGAAUUGACGGGGGCCCGCACAAGCGGUGGAGCAUGUGGUUUAAUUCGAUGCAACGCGAAGAACCUUACCUGGUCUUGACAUCCACAGAACUUUCCAGAGAUGGAUUGGUGCCUUCGGGAACUGUGAGACAGGUGCUGCAUGGCUGUCGUCAGCUCGUGUUGUGAAAUGUUGGGUUAAGUCCCGCAACGAGCGCAACCCUUAUCCUUUGUUGCCAGCGGUCCGGCCGGGAACUCAAAGGAGACUGCCAGUGAUAAACUGGAGGAAGGUGGGGAUGACGUCAAGUCAUCAUGGCCCUUACGACCAGGGCUACACACGUGCUACAAUGGCGCAUACAAAGAGAAGCGACCUCGCGAGAGCAAGCGGACCUCAUAAAGUGCGUCGUAGUCCGGAUUGGAGUCUGCAACUCGACUCCAUGAAGUCGGAAUCGCUAGUAAUCGUGGAUCAGAAUGCCACGGUGAAUACGUUCCCGGGCCUUGUACACACCGCCCGUCACACCAUGGGAGUGGGUUGCAAAAGAAGUAGGUAGCUUAACCUUCGGGAGGGCGCUUACCACUUUGUGAUUCAUGACUGGGGUGAAGUCGUAACAAGGUAACCGUAGGGGAACCUGCGGUUGGAUCACCUCCUUACCUUAAAGAAGC